UGGGUGCCACGGAGAAGUCCCACACC
rnacentral:piRNA from 1 species